GGGAAUCUUAGCUCAGUGUUUGAGCAUCUGCUUUGCAUGCAGAAGGUCCCAAGUUCAGUCCCUAGUAUCUCCA